rnacentral:rRNA from 1 species
GACGAACGCUGGCGGCGUGCCUAAUACAUGCAAGUCGAACGCAGUGGGGACGGGUGAGUAACACGUGGGUAACCUCCCAUAAGAGGGGAUAACACUUGGAAACAGGUGCUAAACCGAUACUGAUGGAGGAACCCGCGGUGCAUUAGCUAGUUGGUGGGGUAAAGGCUCACCAAGGCCACGAUCCAUAGCCGACCUGAGAGGGUGAUCGGCCACACUGGGACUGAGACACGGCCCAGACUCCUACGGGAGGCAGCAGUGGGGAAUAUUCGGCAAUGGACGAAAGUCUGACCCAGCAACGCCGCGUGUAUGAAGAAGGCCUUAGGGUUGUAAAGUACUUUCAGCGGGGAGGCGUUACCCGCAGAAGAAGCACCGGCUAACUCCGUGCCAGCAGCCGCGGUAAUUC